CUCUCCCUCUCUGCCUCUGUAGGGCCACAUGCAGUGCAUUUCUGCCAGCCUGUAAGCAGACUGGUUUAUGAUUUGAACAGAAAAGUUGUACUUAAGAAGAAAAAAGCUUCAGCAGUGUGGCAUUAGCCCUCUUCAUUAGAUCUCUGUGUGUUGGAUGCAUGGCUCUGGCAUGUCACCACCUCACCUGAUCAGCUCACACCCCAAGUCCUGCCCCAGUGAGACCGGCUGGCCAACUGUGAUGGCAACACGGCUAAAGUUUGCAUAUGAGGAUGGCAUCAGCCAAGCCAGGCAAGAGCCCUUUGGAGAGGUGCUGUGUGACAGGGAGGCUGUCGGAGGCAGAAGUGUUUGCAUGGGAUGGAGCCUGCAACUACCGUAACCGUCCCUGUGGCAAGAACACCCACAGAAACAGGUAAUUU